rnacentral:rRNA from 1 species
GAUGAACGCUGGCGGCGUGCCUAAUACAUGCAAGUCGAGCGAACAGAUGAGGAGCUUGCUCCUUUGACGUUAGCGGCGGACGGGUGAGUAACACGUGGAUAACCUACCUAUAAGACUGGGAUAACUUCGGGAAACCGGAGCUAAUACCGGAUAAUAUAUUGAACCGCAUGGUGAAAUAGUGAAAGACGGUUUUGCUGUCACUUAUAGAUGGAUCCACGCCGCAUUAGCUAGUUGGUAAGGUAACGGCUUACCAAGGCAACGAUGCGUAGCCGACCUGAGAGGGUGAUCAGCCACACUGGAACUAAGACACGGUCCAGACUCCUUCGGGAGACAGCAGUAGAGAGUCUGCCGCAAUGGGCGAAAGCCUGACGGAGCAACGCCGCGUGAGUGAUGAAGAUCUUCGGAUCGUAAAACUCUGUUAUUAGGAAUAAACAAAUGUGUAAGUAACUAUACACGUCUUGACGGUACCUAAUCAGAAAGCCGCGGCUAACUACGUG